GGGCGUAAGCGCGCGUAGGUGGCUUGAUAAGCCGGUUGUGAAAGCCCCGGGCUCAACCUGGGAACGGCAUCCGGAACUGUCAGGCUAGAGUGCAGGAGAGGAAGGUAGAAUUCCCGGUGUAGCGGUGAAAUGCGUAGAGAUCGGGAGGAAUACCAGUGGCGAAGGCGGCCUUCUGGACUGACACUGACACUGAGGUGCGAAAGCGUGGGUAGCAAACAGGAUUAGAUACCCUGGUAGUCCACGCCGUAAACGAUGUCGACCAGCCGUUGGGUGCCUAGAGCACUUUGUGGCGAAGUUAACGCGAUAAGUCGACCGCCUGGGGAGUACGGCCGCAAGGUUAAAACUCAAAUGAAUUGACGGGGGCCCGCACAAGCGGUGGAGCAUGUGGUUUAAUUCGAUGCAACGCGAAGAACCUUACCUACCCUUGACAUCUACAGAAGCCGGAAGAGAUUCUGGUGUGCCUUCGGGAACUGUAAGACAGGUGCUGCAUGGCUGUCGUCAGCUCGUGUUGUGAAAUGUUGGGUUAAGUCCCGUAACGAGCGCAACCCUUGUCCUUAUUUGCCAGCGAGUAAUGUCGGGAACUCUAAGGAGACUGCCGGUGACAAACCGGAGGAAGGUGGGGACGACGUCAAGUCAUCAUGGCCCUUACGGGUAGGGCUACACACGUGCUACAAUGGCCGGUACAAAGGGCUGCGAGCUCGCGAGAGUCAGCGAAUCCCUUAAAGCCGGUCUCAGUCCGGAUCGGAGUCUGCAACUCGACUCCGUGAAGUCGGAAUCGCUAGUAAUCGUGAAUCAGAAUGUCACGGUGAAUACGUUCCCGGGCCUUGUACACACCGCCCGUCACACCAUGGGAGUGGACUGCACCAGAAGUGGUUAGCCUAACGCAAGAGGGCGAUCACCACGGUGUGGUUCAUGACUGGG
rnacentral:rRNA from 1 species